UUGGGGGACUGCUCUCAUGCUGGGAUCAUGAACAAUUUGAAGGCAGGCUACUUAACAAGAAUUGCUAUUCCUGGACCAUAAUAUUGACAGAUAAGAAUUUGAACUUCCAAUGAAUGCUCUCUAAUAUUUAUGGUCCUCAUAGCCAGCAUGAUCGAAGAGUGUUCCUUGACGAACUUAGCUUGUUAAGAGAAUCUAAUCUCCUACCCUGGGUGUUAAUAGGAGAAUUCAAUGCCACGAGAUUUUAUUCUGAUCGC
rnacentral:lncRNA from 1 species